UUUAGAAACUAAUAUAAAACUAGAUUAGUAUUAGUUAUAUACUUAAAAGUUAAAAAAUUUGGCGGUGAUUUAAUCUUUUCAGAGGAAUUUGUUUUUUAAUCGAUAAACCACGAAAAAUCUUACUUAUUUUUGUUUAAUGUAAUUUCAGUUUGUAUACCAUCAUUAUCAGAUAAUUCUAAAAAGAAAAAUUAUUAAAAAUAAAUAAUUAUUUAAAUUAGAUCAAGGUGCAGCUAAUAAAUAAGGUAAAAUGAAUUACAAUAAAUUGUUUUAUAAUGGAUUAAUAAAAUAAUUUUUAUUAUAAAGGAGGAUUUGAUAGUAUUAUAAUUUUAAUAAGUUUAUAAGAUAAUAGCUCUAAAUCAUGUACAUAUCGCCCGUCGCUUUCAUUUAUAAAUGAAAUAAGUCGUAACAUA
rnacentral:rRNA from 1 species